UACGGGGGAGCAAGCGUUGUUCGGAUUUACUGGGCGUAAAGGGCGCGUAGGCGGCCACCGCAAGUCGACUGUGAAAUCUCCGGGCUUAACCCGGAAAGGUCAGCCGAUACUGCGGGGCUAGAGUGCAGAAGGGGCAACUGGAAUUCUCGGUGUAGCGGUGAAAUGCGCAGAUAUCGGGAAGAACACCCGUGGCGAAGGCGGGUCUCUGGGCCGAUACUGACGCUGAGGAGCGAAAGCGUGGGGAGCGAACAGG
rnacentral:rRNA from 1 species